AAACGACUCUCGGCAACGGAUAUCUCGGCUCACGCAUCGAUGAAGAACGUAGCAAAAUGCGAUACUUGGUGUGAAUUGCAGAAUCCCGUGAACCAUCGAGUUUUUGAACGCAAGUUGCGCCCGAAGCCAUCCGGCUGAGGGCACGUCUGCCUGGGCGUCACGC
rnacentral:rRNA from 10 species